AUCUUCACGUGAUUCUUUCCCUUGGGAAGGUAUCAACCAUAUAAGUAUUAGGAAUAGUAAUAUACAUUUUAUGUAUUAGAGGUUUACAAUUCUCUGAAUCAUUUUCAUAUGUUAUAGGUUCUCCAAAGCACCAUUUAUGAGGUUGACCUACACCGAAUUCUUCAAAGCAUUCACAUAUACCUACAAGAUCUUGGUAUGGAAGAAAUCAGGAAGAGAGCUGGAGCUGAUGACAAACCAUUACGAAUGG